AUUUACAUCCCUACCACAUAUUCUAAAAUUGUAAUGAUGCAGAGAAGAUUAGCAUUGUCCCUGCACAUUUCACAAACAUUUUAAAUUUUC
rnacentral:snRNA from 1 species